UACGUAGGGUCCGAGCGUCGUCCGGAAUUAUUGGGCGUAAAGGGCUCGUAGGCGGUUUGUUGCGUCGGGAGUGAAAACACCGGGCUUAACUCGGUGCUUGCUUUCGAUACGGGCAGACUUGAGGUAUUCAGGGGAGAAUGGAAUUCCCGGUGUAGCGGUGAAAUGCGCAGAUAUCAGGAGGAACACCGGUGGCGAAGGCGGUUCUCUGGGAAUUACCUGACGCUGAGGAGCGAAAGUGUGGGGAGCGAACAGG
rnacentral:rRNA from 1 species